rnacentral:rRNA from 1 species
AUUGAACGCUGGCGGCAUGCCUUACACGUGCAAGUCGAACGGCAGCACGGGAGCAAUCCUGGUGGCGAGUGGCGAACGGGUGAGUAAUAUAUCGGAACGUGCCCAGUAGUGGGGGAUAACUGCUCGAAAGAGCAGCUAAUACCGCAUACGACCUGAGGGUGAAAGGGGGGGAUCGCAAGACCUCUCGCUAUUGGAGCGGCCGAUAUCAGAUUAGCUAGUUGGUGGGGUAAAGGCCUACCAAGGCAACGAUCUGUAGUUGGUCUGAGAGGCCGACCAGCCACACUGGGGCUGAGCACAGGACCAGACUCCGACGGGAGGCAGCAGUGGGGAAUGUUGGACAAUGGGCGCAAGCCUGAUCCAGCAAUGCCGCGUGCAGGAAGAAGGCCUUCGGGUUGUAAACUGCUUUUGUCAGGGAAGAAAUCCUCUAGGUUAAUACCCUUGGGGGGAUGACGGUACCUGAAGAAUAAGCACCGGCUAACUACGUGCCAGCCGCCGCGGUAA